rnacentral:sRNA from 1 species
GUCAACUACCCACCUCUAAAGAGGUAGGCUUGUAAAAGAGCCUGGUUGACCAGCCUAAGUCUUAACUGACUACGUUAUAUAAGUCAUGAUACCUAUGGAUGCUUCUCCAGUCCGUAGAUCUAUCGCUCAGCAUUAAACAGUUCCGAGGGUAUGGGCAGUGUGCUAAGCGCAAAAAGCUUAUAUAACAUUGGCGCGGAGAGAUUGCCGGAAGGCAGCGUUACUAGCCCCGUAAGGGG